ensembl:lncRNA
AAGGGUAUUAAUCUAUUAAAAUCAAAUUCUGAAGAACUUGUUCCAGAUGGAUUAUGUUAUUCCAAUGAUGUAUUUAUGCAUAAAUAUAUAUCACUUUUCUAAGAAAUAUCUUAUUUGCAUGUUUUGUCUCAUGUGAGUUUCAAUAGCACUAUUAAAUAUAAAACAAUCCUCAAGGAGUAUAAAGAGUUUUACUCCUGUAUUUGGGUUUUAAGAAAAUGUAUCAUGAUACAGAAAGUAGAAAACCUUUCAAUGUAAGUGCAACUUAAACACAUUUCUACAUUUCAUUUCCUUUACUUUGGAAACUACUGAAGGUAUACCUAUGAAAUAGUCACUACUCGAUUUAAAUUAGUGAUAGCUGAAAGCUAUAAAAAAAAUCUGGGGGUUUUAAUUUUAUUCAUCACAUCUCUACCUCAGGGACCCAAGGAAAUGCAGAGAAGCGUACUGAAUAUUUAUAAGGCCUCUGGGACCCUAACAGGCUUCCAAAUGCCUUGUUUGUUGCAAUCUGUUUGUCAAACUAUUAAAGAAGUAAAAUCCACACUCUAUCCCCUAUUGUAUAUGCAGACUUUCUCUGUUAAUUAAAUCAAAACUGAUUCUAAGAAUGAGAAGUGAUAUAACUUCUAGUGUAUCACACCAUUUCUCAUCAACCUUAAGACAUAACAGCUCGAGUAACUGGACUUUCAUUUAGGAAAAAAUUGCUCUAUCAUGUUCAACAAAUAUUUUAACCCUGAUUGAUUACUCAAAAUGUCCACUUAAACUUCAGACUUAACAGAUAUGUGUUAUUAAAAAUGUCUCCAUUCUCAUCCUUAAUUGUAGCUAGUUACUAUUAUCUUCCAUCAUGUUCUGUCCCAAGAGAUUGGAUAUAGUUCCCUGUGCUAUACAGUAGGACCUCACUGAUUAUCCAUUAUAAAUAUAAUAGUUUGCGUCUGCCAGCCCCAAACUCCUUGUCCAUCCCACUCCUUCUCCUUCCUCCUUGGCAACCACAAGUUUGUUCUCUAGGUCUAUUAAGUCUGUUUCUGCUUUGUAGAUAGGAACAUUUGUGCUAUAUUUUAGUUUCUAAAUGUAAAUGAUAUUGUAAUUGUCUUUCUUUUUCUGACUGACUUUACUUAGAAUGAGAAUCUCUAGUUGCUUCCAUGUUGCUGCAAAUGGUAUUAUUUCAUUUUUAUUAUGGCUGAGUAGUAUUCCAUUAUAUAUAUGUACCAAAUCUUAAUCCAUUCAUCUGUUGAUAGAUAUUUAGGUUGUUUCCAUGUCUUAGUUAUUGUGAAUAUUGCUGCCAUGAACACAGGGGUGCAAGCAUAUUUUUGAAUCAAAGUUUUGUCUGGAUAGACGCCCAGGAAUGAAAUUGCUGGAUUAUAUGGUACUUCUAUAUUUAGUUUUCUGAGGAACUUCCAUACUGUUUUCCAUACUGGUUGUACCGAUGUACAUUCCCGCCAACAGUGAAGGAGAGUUCCCUUUUCUCCAUACCCUCUUCAGCAUUUGCUAUUGUUAGACUUGUUUUUUUUUUAUUACCCAAAUUAAUUUAUCACAACUGUAGUUGUAUAAUGAUCAUAAAAAUCCAAUUUCACAGGAUUUCCAUCCCACAGCCCAAGCACAUCCCCCCUCGCUACUGUAAUAUAAUUUUACUAUAUCUAAGAAAGUUUGUAAAGAUUAAGGGAAAAGAAAACUCAAUGGUUUUAAAAGAUGAAAAAAGGAGGGAGAAAAAAAAUCCAAAUCUAUAUAUCUAUAUCUAUAUCUCUUUCAAUGUAUUUGUAAUGUAGAAAAUGGCCGAUUUUGGUACCCACCUGAACUUAAAACAAAUCAGUGGAAGGACUAACUCAUUCACCUUUCUUCUAGAUAAGAACUUGGUCACAGGUGGUUACAGCAUUACAAGGCUACAAGUGGCCUGACUGGAAACAGUUAAGAGACACCCCAAGAAGCAUACUCCUUCAUUUAUUUUCACCAGUUACAUUCCACAACACUAUUAUGGAUAAAAAUAAAUAUUCACUAUCCUUUAAGAUCUACUAUGUAUAAGGGGAAUAAGAGUUCACCUCCAGAACAUUAUGGAAUUACACAUUUUAGAAACAGAAACCUAGAUUGACAUUUUCAAUGCAGCCCAAGCUCAAACAAAGAAAAAAGAUUCAGUCCCUUUCAAUCUCUAGUUCUUAUCUUUUCCACCUGGCUAUUAAAAAAGAAAGACAGGUUGCUACAUUAAAAAUCAGGAAGCAUGGGGUGAAAUGAGAGGGGGAAAAAAUGCUAGACCAAUGUAGAGACUAAAUUUCUAGUCCAAGCAGUGCCAACACUUUGCUGUAUUAUAUCAUUGAGAUUAGUUAAUUUCCUUCUGCUUUCUUUUCUCAUCUCUAAAACUCAGAUAAUCACAUUUCAGAAUUUAAAGGACUCAGAGUUCAUCUUGCACCUGCCUUAUUUUCCAGAUCAGAAAACCAUAGUCCAGAGAGGCAAGCUGCACUAGUUAAGGCAUUCAAUCAGCUGCAGAACAAAGCCAUGAGCUGCAGAUGCCUGAAAGCUUGUCUUGCAUCCUUGUCCUGUGCACAUUGUUCUGUCCAGCAAGCCAGCACUGCAGAUCCAUCCCUCAUCUCAGUGGUUGUGAUUCUAUGGUUGUGACAACAGAUUACGCUACACUGAUAAACUGCAGCUUGUGCCAGGGACAAAACCAAAUAAGGACAUGCCUUGGAAUUAUUUUUUUCAAAAACCCUGCCUGUUUU